rnacentral:rRNA from 1 species
AUGCGACUCUUCGGAGGCGUUACACAGGUGCUGCAUGGCCGUCGUCAGCUCGUGUCGUGAGAUGUUUGGUUAAGUCCAGCAACGAGCGCAACCCCCGUUGCCAGUUACCAGCACGUGAAGGUGGGGACUCUGGCGAGACUGCCCAGAUCAACUGGGAGGAAGGUGGGGACGACGUCAGGUCAGUAUGGCCCUUAUGCCCAGGGCUGCACACGUACUACAAUGCCCAGUACAGAGGGGGCCGAAGCCGCGAGGCGGAGGAAAUCCUAAAAACUGGGCCCAGUUCGGACUGUAGGCUGCAACCCGCCUACACGAAGCCGGAAUCGCUAGUAAUGGCGCAUCAGCUACGGCGCCGUGAAUACGUUCCCGGGUCUUGUACACACCGCCCGUCACAUCAUGGAAGCCGGUCGCACCCGAAGUAUCUGAAGCCAACCGCAAGGAGGCAGGGUCCUAAGGUGAGACUGGUAACUGGGAUGAAGUCGUAACAAGGUAGCCGUAGGGGAACCUGCGGC